rnacentral:tRNA from 1 species
UCCCCCGUAGUGUAGAUGGUUAUCACACUAGGCUUUCACCCUAGUGACCCGGGUUCGAGUCCCGGCGGGGGAA